rnacentral:rRNA from 1 species
AUGAACGCUGGCGGCGUGCUUCACCCAUGCCAGUCGAACGAAGCACUUUAUUUGAUUUCCUUCGGGACUGAUUAUUUUGUGACUGAGUGGCGGACGGGUGAGUAACGCGUGGGUAACCUGCCUUGUACAGGGGGAUAACAGUUGGAAACGGCUGCUAAUACCGCAUAAGCGCACAGCAUCGCAUGAUGCAGUGUGAAAAACUCCGGUGGUAUAAGAUGGACCCGCGUUGGAUUAGCUAGUUGGUGAGGUAACGGCCCACCAAGGCGACGAUCCAUAGCCGACCUGAGAGGGUGACCGGCCACAUUGGGACUGAGACACGGCCCAAACUCCUACGGGAGGCAGCAGUGGGGAAUAUUGCACAAUGGGCGAAAGCCUGAUGCAGCGACGCCGCGUGAGCGAAGAAGUAUUUCGGUAUGUAAAGCUCUAUCAGCAGGGAAGAUAAUGACGGUACCUGACUAAGAAGCACCGGCUAAAUACGU